UGGAUUUUUAAGGUUUUAAUAUUCUAAAAUCAUAAUAGAAUGACUAUAUAUUAUUAAAGCUAUUAUUUUUCUGAUCUUAAGAACGUUGAUUAUGUUUUGUGGACGUUUGAAAUUAUUUUAUAUUGCUGGAAAUUUUAAAAGGAAUGUUUUAUUGGAGUUUAGAACGUUUUGGGAUCAUUAGUUUAAUAGUUAUUAUGCUUGGAGGUUAUUUAGUUAAGUUUCGAUAUUUGGGAUGGUUCAAAAUAUGUUUGGGAUGUAUUUAGAAUACUUUAGUAUUGCUGUAAAUUGUUGGAUAUUAAUUGGGGAAUUUUAUUGGUUGUUUUUAGGCGGAGAAUUCUUUGUAGGCGAUUUUUGAAUUCGUUAAAGUGGCCUAUCGGUUUGUUUACACAAGUCUCUAAGGAUCAAUAAGCAUUGUCCAUCUGCAGGUUUGAAGAUGAUGCAUCAUUGGGGAUCGGGAUUAGAGAGCUUGUAGUUAGAUUUGCUUUAUUAAGUGAUUUGGUUUGUUAACUUAAAUUUGAAAUUUGUCGUACUAUUCGUAUUUCCUUAUUUCAGUUAAAUGGGUUUUGGACUAAA